rnacentral:rRNA from 1 species
GAGUUUGAUCCUGGCUCAGAUUGAACGCUGGCGGAAUGCUUUACACAUGCAAGUCGAACGGCAGCACGGGGGCAACCCUGGUGGCGAGUGGCGAACGGGUGAGUAAUACAUCGGAACGUGCCCAGUCGUGGGGGAUAACGUAGCGAAAGCUACGCUAAUACCGCAUACGAACUGAGGUUGAAAGCGGGGGAUCGCAAGACCUCGCGCGAUUGGAGCGGCCGAUGGCAGAUUAGGUAGUUGGUGGGGUAAAGGCCUACCAAGCCGACGAUCUGUAGCUGGUCUGAGAGGACGACCAGCCACACUGGGACUGAGACACGGCCCAGACUCCUACGGGAGGCAGCAGUGGGGAAUUUUGGACAAUGGGCGCAAGCCUGAUCCAGCCAUUCCGCGUGCAGGAUGAAGGCCCUCGGGUUGUAAACUGCUUUUGUACGGAACGAAAAGGUUCUGGUUAAUACCCGGAGCUGAUGACGGUACCGUAAGAAUAAGCACCGGCUAACUACGUGCCAGCAGCCGCGGUAAUACGUAGGGUGCGAGCGUUAAUCGGAAUUACUGGGCGUAAAGCGUGCGCAGGCGGUUGUGUAAGACAGAUGUGAAAUCCCCGGGCUUAACCUGGGAACUGCAUUUGUGGCUGCACGGCUGGAGUGCGGCAGAGGGGGAUGGAAUUCCGCGUGUAGCAGUGAAAUGCGUAGAUAUGCGGAGGAACACCGAUGGCGAAGGCAAUCCCCUGGGCCUGCACUGACGCUCAUGCACGAAAGCGUGGGGAGCAAACAGGAUUAGAUACCCUGGUAGUCCACGCCCUAAACGAUGUCAACUGGUUGUUGGUCCUUCACUGGAUCAGUAACGAAGCUAACGCGUGAAGUUGACCGCCUGGGGAGUACGGCCGCAAGGUUG